rnacentral:rRNA from 1 species
UACGGAGGAUCCAAGCGUUAUCCGGAUUUAUUGGGUUUAAAGGGUGCGUAGGCGACCUGUUAAGUCAGGGGUGAAAGACGGUAGCUCAACUAUCGCAGUGCCCUUGAUACUGAUGGGCUUGAAUGGACUAGAGGUAGGCGGAAUGAGACAAGUAGCGGUGAAAUGCAUAGAUAUGUCUCAGAACACCGAUUGCGAAGGCAGCUUACUAUGGUCUUAUUGACGCUGAGGCACGAAAGCGUGGGGGAUCAAACAGG